UACGAAGGGGGCUAGCGUUGUUCGGAUUUACUGGGCGUAAAGCGCACGUAGGCGGAUCGUUAAGUCGGGGGUGAAAUCCUGGAGCUCAACUCCAGAACUGCCUUCGAUACUGGCGAUCUUGAGUCCGGAAGAGGUGAGUGGAACUCCUAGUGUAGAGGUGGAAUUCGUAGAUAUUAGGAAGAACACCCGUGGCGAAGGCGGCUCUCUGGGACGGUACUGACGCUGAGACGCGAAAGCGUGGGGAGCGAACAGG
rnacentral:rRNA from 1 species